GUGCUCUUGGUGUAGCCGCGGUAACACAUCUCACUCGAAGAACCGAGACUCAGAGGUCCCGGGUUCAACUCCCGGAGGGCGCC